rnacentral:rRNA from 1 species
GACGAACGCUGGCGGCGUGCUUAACACAUGCAAGUCGAACGAAGUGGCGAACGGGUGAGUAACGCGUAAUCAACCUGCCCUUCAGAGGGGGACAACAGUUGGAAACGACUGCUAAUACCGCAUACUGAAGGAGGGGAUUGCGUCUGAUUAGCUAGUUGGAGGGGUAACGGCCCACCAAGGCGAUGAUCAGUAGCCGGUCUGAGAGGAUGAACGGCCACAUUGGGACUGAGACACGGCCCUUACGCCUACGGGAGGCAGCAGUGGGGAAUAUUGGACAAUGGACCAAAGUCUGAUCCAGCAAUUCUGUGUGCACGAUGAAGUUUUUCGGAAUGUAAAGUGCUUUCAGUUGGGAAGCGGUACCGGAAUAGAAAGCCACGGCUAACUACGUGCCAGCAGCCGCGGUAAUUC